CGCCCAGGCUCCUCCUCCCCCUCCUCCAGCGCUUCCCGCCGCGCGGGUAGCGGCCGCGGGAGUCCAAUUGUGGCCGCCCGAGCUAUGAGAGCCGCCGGCCCGAGCGCGCGCCCCGCGCUGGCGCUGCUGCUGCUGGCCGGGGCCGGGGUGUCGGCCGCCGCCUCGCCCCCAGCCCCGCCGGUCUUCAACGUGAGCCUGGACUUGGCCCCCGAGCUGCGCUGGCUGCCGGUGCUGCAGCACUUCGACCGGGACUUCUUGCGCACCGCUAUGGCCCACAUCAUCGGGGAUAAUGUCCCCAAGUGGGUCCUCUCAUUGAUCCGAAAUGCUGUCUGGGAGCUAGAGCUCUUCUUGCCCCAGCCCUUCACCGACGAGAUCCGAGGCAUGUGCGACGCCCUGAACUUCAACUUGGCCGACUGCAUCCUGCUCAAUCUGGCCUACGAGUCCACCGCAUUCUGCACCAGUAUUGUGGCUCAGGACUCCAAAGGCAACAUUUACCAUGGGCGGAAUCUGGAUUAUGCUUUUGGAAAUUUCUUACGCAAGUUGACUGUGGAUGUGCAGUUCAUAAAGAAUGGGAAGAUUGCCUUCACAGGAACCACAUUUAUUGGCUACGUAGGAUUAUGGACUGGUCAGAGUCCACACAAGUUUACGGUUUCUGGCGAUGAACGAGAUCAAGGCUGGUGGUGGGAGAAUAUGGUCGCUGCCCUUUUUCAGAGACACUCACCCGUCAGCUGGCUUAUCCGCACUACCCUGAGUGAGUCGGAAAACUUUGAAGCAGCUGUUUACAAAUUGGCCAAGACCCCCCUCAUUGCUGAUGUUUAUUACAUUGUUGGUGGCACAUCUCCCCGGGAGGGAAUUGUCAUCACGAGGAACAGAGAUGGCCCGGCAGACAUGUGGCCUCUAGAUCCUUUAAAUGGAGCGUGGUUCCGAGUUGAGACAAAUUACGACCACUGGAAGCCAGUGCCUACGAGAGAUGACCGAAGAACACCUGCCAUCAAAGCUCUUAAUGCCACAGGCCAGGCAAACCUCAACCUGGAGACGCUCUUCCAGGUUUUGUCAGUGUUUCCGGUUUAUAACAACUACACAAUUUAUACUACGGUCAUGAGCGCUGCCAGCCCAGACAAGUACAUGACUAGGAUCAGAACCUGAGUUAAAAGCGGAAGAGUGAAUUCCCCUGUGCUAUGAAGCUUAUAAAGAAAAGAGUGGGGAAGACCCCUUUGUUCAUCAUGAAGUGCUUCUGGAAGAGUCUGCCAAUCAAAUAAAAUUAACAACGAUUAUUAUUAUGGAGCAAAGAUGAGUUUAUUCGGGAAUAGCAGAGGAAUUGCAAUUUGGGACAAGCGAACUGUGGUGAACCAUGGCAGGAAGAAGAAAACUCUGCAUCUGAUGACAGCCCAACCAAUCAGACUGUAGCUGCCCGACCAAUGAGAAGUCUUCAUACUUUGGACUCCUAGCUUCCUCCAGUGAACUCUUUCAUUAUUAAAACCCCUCCCAACUCCCUUCUUUUUCCUAUGAAAGCAAACUCCUCUUUCUUGUUCUCUGGAUUUGCCUAUGGUCUACCAUAGUUUGCACAUCCCGAAUUGUAAUUCCUGUGGUUAUUCCCAAAUAAACUUGAUUUG